ensembl:lncRNA
CUUGACUAGAGUACGUCAUAGCUGAAAGAUGCACAAGUGUGCGUCUGUGUAGGCUGCUCAGAGACAUCUCAGGAAACACAGAAAGUCACAGAGUGAAGAAGUAGUUGGCAACAAAAAGUUAAUUAUAUCAAAAGAACUAAUGUUUAUAUCAUCUUUGUGGGAGGUACUUUUUUGUAGAAUCUACAACACAUUUUAUUAAAGCUCCUACACAAGCAAAGCUGCCUGACUUUAUGCCCUGUGGGUUAUUUCUACUCUAAAUUGGUUUCAAAUGUAACAGAAUUAACUUCUUUUUUUUUUUCUUUUUAGCUCAAAAGCAACACAAGCAGAGGUAACGCUCUGUUAACUAAACUAAGAUACCAUUUUACUGUAAUAUAGCCAUUAUACAUUGAUGCUGGGAUUUUCUGUUUCACUGUAAAUUUAUGAGGUGUAUGAGCAGGUGUGGGUUUUUCUUUGGUAUUUUCUUUUCUAUUGUACACGAGACUCUUCCACACUGCAAACUGCAAAAAGGAAGUAAAAAGGUUAAAGGAGGUAGAAAGGUUGAGCAAGGUUUCCCCAUCAAAUCAAGAGGUUGUUUUUUUUUUUUUUUUUGCAUUUUUUUUUAUGUAAAACGCACAGGUUGCUGAUGGAAAGUUUUACUCAUUUAACACCAAACCAAUUUUUUGAAGAUGUGAAAGUUGAGGUGUCGUCACUAAAGUUUGGGGAACCCCUUGAAUGAGUCACAUUCAAGGAUGGGCAGUGGGUGUAAGUAAUGGGUGUCCCCUUUAUGACUAGUUUCAUCAGGGCUCUCCCGACGGUGCAGCCUCUAGCACCAACGCACUUAUCAACAAGGUUUCCAUCGAGACAUUUUGCUGCGGUGAGGCCCGCUUUGAUAAAGUAUCAGAGCUUCUAAUCUGAAAUGCAGUGUUCCACUUCCUAGAAACGACUUUUUAAACAUAUGCCAUAAAUGUCAGCAGUUCAUAAUUAAUGUCAGUGCUGCUUUUCGGCGAGCUCACCAUCACGUGGAAAGAUAUGUCGAAAAAUGUUUGAUUGGAUUUUUUUUUUUCUUUCUGUUUCAGGCGAGGCUUUUCAGAGAAGUGAUCUCAGGUCACUUUUUUCUUCCUUAGCUGUGAAUGUAACAUCUGUUUUGGUCUCUUCCUAAUCCACAAACCCACUAAUUCCAUUACUUUUCCCUUCAGACAUCACAGCUUCUCAUAUCCAAAGGGAAAAAUGUCAAUCUACAGCCUGUCAUCAUCUUCAGUGAGGUAGCUGGCAUCUGUUUUUAUACAUGUCUGCUGUGUGUUUGCCUGCUUGGUCGUGGCUGGAGGCUUUUAUACCAGUUUUGGCCCGGGCUGUGGACUCCGGCCUUCCCGUGCAGCGCUUCCGCCUGCGGUGUGGCGUGC